rnacentral:rRNA from 1 species
AGUUUGAUCCUGGCUCAGGAUGAACGCUAGCGGGAGGCUUAACACAUGCAAGUCGAGGGGCAGCAUAGGGUAGCAAUACUCUGAUGGCGACCGGCAGACGGGUGAGUAACGCGUAUGUAACCUACCCUGUACAGGGGGGAUAACCCGGAGAAAUUCGGACUAAUAUCCCAUGGAAAUAUUGAGAGGCAUCUUUUGAUAUUUAAAGUUCCGGCGGUACGGGAUGGGCAUGCGUAACAUUAGCUAGUUGGUAAGGUAACGGCUUACCAAGGCUUUGAUGUUUAGGGGUCCUGAGAGGGUGAUCCCCCACACUGGUACUGAGACACGGACCAGACUCCUACGGGAGGCAGCAGUGAGGAAUAUUGGUCAAUGGGCGCAAGCCUGAACCAGCCAUCCCGCGUGCAGGAAGACGGCGCUAUGCGUUGUAAACUGCUUUUCCAGGGGGAGAAACUUGCGUACGUGAUACGCAAUUGACGGUACCCUGGGAAUAAGCAUCGGCUAACUCCGUG